GAUGAACGCUAGCGGCAGGCCUAACACAUGCAAGUCGAGGGGCGGCGCAAAGAUAGUUUACUAUUUUGGCGGCGACCGGCGCACGGGUGAGUAACGCGUAUGCAACCUACCUUAUACAGGAGUAUAGCCUGAAGAAAUUCGGAUUAAUCCUCCAUAGUAUUCUUUAAUGGCAUCAUUUGAAGAAUUAAAGCUUCGGCGGUAUAAGAUGGGCAUGCGUCCUAUUAGCUAGAUGGUAAGGUAACGGCUUACCAUGGCUACGAUAGGUAGGGGGCCUGAGAGGGUGAUCCCCCACACUGGUACUGAGACACGGACCAGACUCCUACGGGAGGCAGCAGUGAGGAAUAUUGGGCAAUGGGCGCAAGCCUGACCCAGCCAUGCCGCGUGCAGGAAGAAUGCCCUAUGGGUUGUAAACCGCUUUUAUUUAGGAAUAAACCCCUUUACGUGUAGAGGGCUGAAUGUACUAAACGAAUAAGCACCGGCUAACUCCGUGCCAGCAGCCGCGGUAAUACGGAGGGUGCAAGCGUUAUCCGGAAUCAUUGGGUUUAAAGGGUCCGCAGGCGGAUGUAUAAGUCAGUGGUGAAAUCCUGCAGCUUAACUGCAGAACUGCCAUUGAUACUGUACAUCUUGAAUUCGGUCGAAGUGGGCGGAAUGUGUAGUGUAGCGGUGAAAUGCAUAGAUAUUACACAGAACACCGAUAGCGAAGGCAGCUCACUAGGCCUGGAUUGACGCUCAGGGACGAAAGCGUGGGGAUCAAACAGGAUUAGAUACCCUGGUAGUCCACGCUGUAAACGAUGAUUACUCGUUUUCGGCGAUAUACAGUCGGAGACUAAGCGAAAGUGAUAAGUAAUCCACCUGGGGAGUACGAUCGCAAGGUUGAAACUCAAAGGAAUUGACGGGGGCCCGCACAAGCGGUGGAGCAUGUGGUUUAAUUCGAUGAUACGCGAGGAACCUUACCAGGGCUUAAAUGCAGAGCGAAUAGUUUGGAAACAGACUAGCCUUCGGGCGAUCUGCAAGGUGCUGCAUGGCUGUCGUCAGCUCGUGCCGUGAGGUGUUGGGCUAAGUCCCGCAACGAGCGCAACCCCUAUCUUUAGUUGCCAGCGAGUAAUGUCGGGGACUCUAAAGAAACUGCCUACGCAAGUAGAGAGGAAGGCGGGGACGACGUCAAGUCAUCACGGCCCUUACGUCCUGGGCCACACACGUGCUACAAUGGUCGGUACAGAGGGCAGCUACCGGGUGACCGGAUGCGAAUCUCUAAAGCCGAUCUCAGUUCGGAUUGGAGUCUGCAACUCGACUCUAUGAAGCUGGAAUCGCUAGUAAUCGCGCAUCAGCCAUGGCGCGGUGAAUACGUUCCCGGGCCUUGUACACACCGCCCGUCAAGCCAUGGAAGCUGGGGGUACCUGAAGUCGGUAACCGUAAGGAGCUGCCUAGGGUAAAACUAGUAACUGGGGC
rnacentral:rRNA from 1 species